rnacentral:rRNA from 1 species
UACGUAGGGGGCAAGCGUUAUCCGGGUUUACUGGGUGUAAAGGGAGCGUAGACGGAUAAGCAAGUCUGAUGUGAAAAUCCGGGGCCCAACCCCGGAAUUGCAUUGGAAACUGCAUAUCUAGAGUGUCGGAGAGGCAAGUGGAAUUCCUGGUGUAGCGGUGAAAUGCGUAGAUAUCAGGAGGAACACCAGUGGCGAAGGCGGCUUGCUGGACGAUGACUGACGUUGAGGCUCGAAAGCGUGGGGAGCAAACAGG